rnacentral:tmRNA from 1 species
GGGGGCGAAACGGUUUCGACGGGACUGUUGAGGCUGGGGCAGCGUGCCGAGGCCCACUCCUCGUAAAACAGGUGGAACCAAACCAAGCGCCAACUCACAGUUAGCGCUGGCUGCUUAAAGCAGCCCGUCCACCGGGCCCUUUUUCCCGCGGGGGUUCGGAUGGGCGUCGCACAGCGGGAUAGCCUGAAGGCCCGCCCGAAGCCUUAAGGCGAAAACGACCGGGCUGGCUGGCCGCUUCUUUGCCACUUCGGGGGGCGGCCGGCGAGAGCAACCGAGGUGGCUACGCACGUAGACGUCCCACGCUGAUCUCUUCCGGACGCGGGUUCGACUCCCGCCGCCUCCACCA